rnacentral:rRNA from 1 species
AAAUUACCCAAUCCCGACACGGGGAGGUAGUGACAAUAAAUACUGAUACAGGGCUCUUUUGGGUCUUGUAAUCGGAAUGAGUACAAUUUAAAUCCCUUAACGAGGAACAAUUGGAGGGCAAGUCUGGUGCCAGCAGCCGCGGUAAUUCCAGCUCCAAUAGCGUAUAUUAAAGUUGUUGUGGUUAAAAAGCUCGUAGUUGAACCUUGGGCCUGGCUGGCCGGUCCGCCUCACCGCGUGCACUGGUCCGGCCGGGCCUUUCCCUCUGCGGAACCCCAUGCCCUUCACUGGGUGUGGCGGGGAAACAGGACUUUUACUUUGAAAAAAUUAUAGUGCUCAAGGCAGGCCUAUGCUCGAAUACAUUAGCAUGGAAUAAUAGAAUAGGACGUGUGGUUCUAUUUUGUUGGUUUCUAGGACCGCCGUAAUGAUUAAUAGGGACAGUCGGGGGCAUCAGUAUUCAAUUGUCAGAGGUGAAAUUCUUGGAUUUAUUGAAGACUAACUA